ACGCAAGCGCAGUGGCGCGAGUUCGGCAGUGAGGCAACAUGUCGUCGCCGACGAUCCCUUCGCGCCUGUACUCCUUGCUGUUCCGCAGAACUUCCACCUUUGCCCUCACCAUCGCAGUGGGCGCCCUGUUCUUCGAGCGAGCCUUCGAUCAGGGCGCAGACGCGAUCUACGAGCACAUCAACGAGGGGUUCCACAUAUUCAUUUGCGAAAGCUAACUCCUGACUCCUGAGACAUCAGAGGACUUACGGGUCUGAACCACUCCAUUAAGUCGGUGAAACUGUGGAAACAUAUAAAGCACAAGUAUGAGAACAAGGAGUAACACCCUGCCCCUGUGGGACCCGAAGGAACAGUCGCCGGUCAGCUGUUUGCCUGGAGUUGGGGCCUCAGCCUAAGGAUGAGUUUCAAGUUGCCGUUCACCGACCGCCAGUGUGUGGGCAAGCUAUGGCUCCACUGUACAAACAGACUCACUUCUGCUGUGUUUGAGUACAGCUGUCAGCAAAUAAAUGCAAAGUGCUCAUGAGACCGGC